GCCCACCCAGUGUUCAGACUACCUGUUCAGGGGGUUCUGAAUGUGUACAGUAGUCUGCACAUUGGUUAGGC
ensembl:miRNA MIR199A1 microRNA 199a-1